AACCAUAGAAACCUGCGGAGUACCUGCGGAGGGAUCAUUAGAGAAAUCUAUAUGAAUGAAGUUAGAGGACGUCGAGAGAUACUGCAGACGAAGAGCUGUAUUCCUAUACCUGCGCUUAGUUGCGCGGUAGUGGUGCGGUUCCGAGCUUGUGGAAAUAAAUGUCUUUCUUCGUUGUCAACUCUGCUUCAACUUCUACAACACUGUGAAGUUUUCUACAAAAAAAAACUUUCUUCUUUGGGG
rnacentral:misc_RNA from 1 species